CACGUAGUUGGCCGGUCCUUCUUCUACAGGUACCGUCACUUGCGCUUCGUCCCUGCUGAAAGAGGUUUACAACCCGAAGGCCGUCAUCCCUCACGCGGCGUCGCUGCAUCAGGCUUGCGCCCAUUGUGCAAUAUUCCCCACUGCUGCCUCCCGUAGGAGUCUGGGCCGUAUCUCAGUCCCAGUGUGGCCGGUCACCCUCUCAGGCCGGCUACCCGUCGUCGCCUUGGUAGGCCAUCACCCCACCAACAAGCUGAUAGGCCGCGGGCCCAUCCCACACCGCAAAAGCUUUCCCCCACAAACCAUGCAGUCCAUGAGGUAUAUCCGGUAUUAGACCCAGUUUCCCAGGCUUAUCCCAAAGUGCAGGGCAGAUCACCCACGUGUUACUCACCCGUUCGCCACUCGAGUACCCCCGAAAGGGCCUUUCCGUUCGACUUGCAUGUGUUAAGCACGCCGCCAGCGUUCGUCCUGAGCCAGGAUCAAACUACU
rnacentral:rRNA from 1 species